GACGAGGGGUCCUAGCGUUGUUCGGAAUCAUUGGGCGUAAAGCGUGUGUAGGCUGCCAAAAAAGUCAGUUGUGAAAUCCCCGGGCUUAACCCGGGAAGUGCUUCUGAUACUGUUUGGCUUGAGUACUGGAGAGGAUAGUGGAAUUCCUGGUGUAGUGGUGAAAUACGUAGAUAUCAGGAGGAACACCGGUGGCGAAGGCGGCUAUCUGGCCAUGUACUGACGCUGAGACACGAAAGCGUGGGGAGCAAACAGG
rnacentral:rRNA from 1 species